rnacentral:rRNA from 1 species
UACGUAGGCAGCAAGCGUUGUUCGGAGUUACUGGGCGUAAAGGGUGUGUAGGCGGCUUCGUAAGUUCGGUGUGAAAUCUCCCGGCUUAACUGGGAGGGUGCGCCGAAAACUGCGAAGCUGGAGCGCAGGAGAGGAAAGCAGAAUUCCUGGUGUAGCGGUGGAAUGCGCAGAUAUCAGGAGGAACACCGGUGGCGAAGGCGGGUCUCUGGGCAGUAACUGACGCUGGAGGAGCGAAAAGCGUGGGGAGCGAACAGGAUUAG